CUGAAAUUAUUCCUGCAUUGGAGAUACAUUUUAUAGAGGUGUCAGUUAAUUCAUUUACAGUCCAUUCAUGGUUUCUGUUUUUGCUUGACUACAGAAGGACAGAGAUACUAUAUAAUUCUGUGAAGCUUCCCUUUUCUAACAAGAACUAUUAAUUUCUUCAACAGGCUUGGUAGCUUUCUGUUCUGUCUUGGACUACAGCAUCCCUAAUUUCAGAAUGGCAUAUUACAGUGUGCAUGGAACAGAUGGAUGCUCAAUUUGAAGCCUGAGGUGACACCAGAUGGGCCUCGUUCUUCAACAGAGUGAUACCAAUGAUUAAAGUGGAUGCUUUCUCCUGCUACAGAAGAUAUGUUCCGCCAGCAGGCAAUGCAAAAGUAUGUAUUAAGUGGCAGAUAUGUUCUCAGAAGUUCUGCCGCCACUUGUUGGCAUUGAUUUGAAAAUUUUCAGAGAUUGUGAUUGAGAUUGUUGGCAUCUGGUGUCACCUUACUCACGCCUAUCAGGAGCAGCGAUCUUUAAGAUUGUACGAUUCUCCAGAUAUUCUGAAGAUCAGAAUGGUAUCCAGUUCUGCUAUUGUGACUCCAGUCUGCAGUGAUCGUCCUUCAGGUGUUCCUUUCAGUUUGCUCCAUGUCGACAAACACCUACACAGAGGAUUCCUGUUGGUGUUUGCACCUUCCCAUGUGCACAUAUCCGGGCUCCUGCUCGCGCUUACAAAGCCAAGAAAGAUCCUCAGCCAGACGCUAUUUGAUAGGACUAAAGACAAGCUCCCUGCUUGGUAGCUUUCUGUUCUGUCCUGGGCUACAGCACCCUUACUUUCAGAAUGGUGUAUUACACUUAGAAUGAACUGGAAGCAGACCUUUCACUUUGUGAAAAAAACAUGGAACAUGCGACGACAGCAAAUACGACCAACUCUCAGUUUCUACCAUGGCUGCCAGGCGUUGCUAUUAUCCUUCUGUGUUUUGUCAUGUGCACAUCUAAAGCAGCAAAAUUCGCCCUCAACCUCAAGCCCCAGAUUAUAGAAUACAUGUAGUAGAGCAGCUAUAUUAGCUAAUGGUGUAGAUCUUCUACAUGGUGCUACAAAUGAUUAAAGCGGAUGGUUCCUGAAACUAUGGGGGUCCAGUCCUGCCACAGAAUAUAUGUUCCACCAGCAGGCAACAUCCACUACAGAAGUUCAGAGAAAUCAAUCAUUAAAUCAAGUGCCUCUGCAAGGAGCGGCUGUCCCUAAGAUUGUGCGAUUCUCCAGACAUUCUGAAGAUCAGAACGGUAUCCAGUUCUGCUUUUGUGACUCCAGUCUGCAGGUGUUCCUUCAGUUUGCUCCCUGUCAGACAAACACCUACACAGAGGGGUUCAGAGGAUGAUUCGAAGGCUUACCAUGACUGUUAUCGACAGUCGGUGGCACAGUCCACGCUCAAUGUUGUCUUGUUCGCCACCGAUCCAGUUGAGCACAGACAGUCAGGAUGAUCUACUGUCAGCUGCACCGCUGCAGCCCUCGCUGUAAGAGCUUCCUCAGCCAUCUCGACCAGUUGAUGGUGAUGCAUUCAGCAGAGCACAGAGGUGUAGAUAAAAAUCCCCAAGGGCGCAAUGUUGACGAUGUGUUGAUGUUCCCCCAGUUAUUUCUAGUCAAAUUCGGUUGCGCCUUGUUUCAUAUUCAACACUUAAUGAAGAAUGUAAUGAGUGAAUGGGUGGGAGAAAUUGUAAGGCUCGCUCAUUUGAUUGUUGUACUCUACUAUAAGAGGGCAGGCCUCAAUCUGAUGUCCCCAGUCCCUAGACAGCUAGGCCUUCUUAAAAUUGCAAAUUGAGCAGAUAUACAGGGGUCUCUUAUGUUUUGUGCCAAAUCUCUUU